CCCGUCCUGUUUGAAGGCCCGCGGGUGGCGGCGGCAAGCCAGGGUGGGCGUGUUUUCCUCGGUUUCUUUUCCCACGUGGGGGACAGCCGAGACUUCUUCGGCUCUGAUAACUUCGUGGGUUAGUCAGCUCCACAUCCACCAUUUCAUCUGAACCGUACAGUUAAGAGGAUUCAUUUUCCUGGAUUAGAGAGGUCAACCAAUGCCCACCGAAAGAAAGUGGCCAAAUCCUUGUGCUUUGGGAAAGCCACAGAUCCUAAAUUUGAACCCCCGAGUGCUGCCUCCGCGGCUCGUGGGUGUGGGAAGGUCCUGGGUUUCAGUGGGGAGGCCAGAAUCACUCCUGACCCCAAAUGGUGUGGGCAUCCCUGAGGGUUUGAGUUUUGAGCACGCUGCCUGUGGCCUCCAGGGACUCAGGCCUUCUGAAGCGUUGAACAGACGCAGUAGAAAGUUCUGCUCAUACUGAGUCUGGAGUCCAAGGAGGAAGACGCAGUAAAAGUUCUGCUCAUACUGGGUCUGGAGUCCAAGGAGGAACGGGAAGACAAGGAGACUGGGGCUUGCUCAAGGCCCAUUCAGCAGAUCAGUGAGUUCUAAGAAGUAUGCGAGCAUCAAAGAAAACACCAACUGAGCUCAGCCCCUCGCCCUGGAGGAUCUUACAGGAUAGACUGCGGGAUCCAGGAUACCAUAUUACAUUGAAUUGUCGUGUGUGCCUCGUGCCCCCAGGCCGUGACAGCUUCUCGUACUUUCCGUGUUUUGACGACUCUGACAGUUUCCAGGAGUGCUGGUUUCAGUUACCCGAGGUCAAACCACGACGGUCCAGAAGCGGAUGAUCGACCUCCUGCCAUGUCGUCACUACGUCAAAACACCUGUGUCACUUCAUCUCAUCACGUGGGCAUUUUAACAUCUCACGUCAUCACAAGAAGACACAGGGUCCCCCCAGCUGAGACCUCAGAUAUCCGGGAACAGAGAAAAACCAUCCUGGCUCUGCCCUUUUGGAGUCCCUGGCCCACGGAAUCCGUCAGCAUCCUAGUUGUUGCUUGGCGCCUCUAAGUUUCAGAGUGGUAUACCAUGCUGCAGUAGAUAACCAUAGCAACUGACUGGUGCACCUGCCUUCUCCAGCUAGAUCAUGAACUCUUUGAGGUCAAGACUGAGUCAAAUUCAUCUUUCAAUCCUUGUUCCCAGCACAGGGCUGACUCAGGAUAGGCUCUGAACCAUAAAGGAGAUCAGCGGUGUCAGAGAGCUGUGAAAUCUUAUCACCAGGCUGAGACCAGAUGGUUGGGAUCACAUGACGAGUUCUGGCCAAUGGCCCGCAAGUGGCAGAGUCCAGCGCCACUUUUGGGCUGGGACAGAUAAGUGCUGGUGGUCCUCUUUCCGCCUCUCUUUUGCUUGGGGGCCAUAUGUUCCAGAAAUCAGAGCCGUAGGGCCGGCCAGACUUUGCAUGAGUGAGACAGAAUCGUAUCGUGUUAGGGCACCGAGAGAUCAUGGCUUACUUGCUCUGUAGCACGGUGUAGGCUGUUCUGACUGUUGCUCACCCUGGGUUUAAUGCUAUCUUUGAAGAACUCUUUCUCAGUUAUCGGACUACCAGAAUCACACCCGCUUCCCAGCUGGGGCCCUUUUGUUCUUCUUCCUCUCUCUUUUACUCCCUCCUCUUCCUCAAUUCCUCAUACAUCCCACUAACGACCUGGCUCUGAUUACUCACUGUCACUCUGGGCUUUACUUGCAGACUUGUAGACUCUUAUGCUUCAAAGAGGCCUCUGUAUUAUUUAAGUCAGGCCAGCUCCCCAGUAGGAGUCACCUCUCCACACCUCCGAUAGCGUCUACUUGCAUACCUGCUGGGACAGGAAGCUCACUUCCUCUCACACUGGUUCCUUCCCUCCUCGAGGAGCUUCUUGGGAUUCAUCAGACCACACUUGUACCUCUGGCCAUUGCUACUUGUCCCCACUGGAGUCCCACAGAAUUGCUGUCCCUGGCCCAGGACAGCCUUUCAGAAGCCCAGGGCCCCUCAAGAUUUCUCUUUUCCAGCCGGUCUCUUUCAGGGGGCGAGGAAGACACAUGUCCCGUGGGGGCUCCUGGCAAGGUGAUCUGUGGUAGGAAUGGGUCUCAGUCCAAGACUCGGGUGUGCAAGAAAUGCUACUUUCUUUAUUCAUUCGCUUUGUCUUAAUUUGUCAUUUGAGCUCCAUUCUUCCGGGGGGGUGGGAAACAAGUCUCAGCCAAUUUAGCUUCGCUUUUUUUGCCUUGGGGGUCCCUUUAAGUUCUGUGAUCCCCUUGAGGGGAUCAAGGGGUUGGAGAAGGAAACUCAUCAUCUGCUGAGAUUCCCCAGAAGUCCUUGGAGGGCAGGCCAUACGUGCUGCCGAGGGGCGCCCGUGAGCCUUUCUAAGGCUUCCCAAGGUCCUUCCCCGAUGCCCUCACUGCUCCAGGUGCCUGGGACCCAUCUGCUGCUGCUCUCUGGGCUUGUAUGUGGAGGGUUCCGCGAACCUUUCUCAGCCUGGACGCCCCACCGAGCCAGGCCCUCAGAAUCUGCCCAGGAAUGGUGGUGUCAGCUAGGAUGCAAUGGGAGGCCCUCAGUCGGAGGGACUUUUUCGCCGAUUUGUGAACAUAUAGUGUAUACACUAGCAUGUUGACAUGCGAGGCGUGCACAGUUGAACCAAGGUGCCUAAGUCAUAGACUAUGUAUAAGUUCCUUAAUGUGUAUGAAAGCUCCCUGCUCCCACCCCCUAAUCCACUGCAGAAAAGCUUCCUGUACUAACCGUACGGGAAGGUGGUGCUUGGAGAUCUAUCUCCCUGUCUCUUUACUUGUCACAAGCAAAAAAGGGUUCUUUGCUUCCAACACUUUCUCAGUUUGUGUUCAAUUUAAUGUGCUCCAAAUGGUGAACCCCUUGAGUCUGGUUACAGAGGAACAGAUCUGCCUAUUCCCCCCUUCCAGCUUGGGGCUCAGCCAGGGCCCCUUUCUAGGGGACACAGCGACAUCACACAUUCUCUUUGCGUCCUGUCUAAUUCUUCGUCCCCAGUCACGGUGCAGGGGACAAGGCAGUACCAGAAACCCUACAUACCUGGUCUCGCCCAUCCUCACAAUGACCCCUCUUUUCAGUUGAUAGUGAAACUGAGGGCCAGGGAAGUGAAGGGUAGAGCAGAGCCAGGAUCCAAACCCAGAUGUGUCUGACUCCAGAGUUGAGACUUCUGUCGAUAUCCAGCUACUUCUCCAGGUAGCACGCCUGGGAAUAUUACCAUGCUGCCUGAGUUCUGGGGCCCUGAGAGGACUCAUGGAGAGCUUUGAGGCAAUAAAGCCACGAUCAUGUCCUUUAAGAGACACUCAAGUGCUCCCUCUGCCUUCAAGGGCUUCAGAGCGAGUGUCCUCAGUCCCUCCUUCUAAGUGAACAGACAGCUCUUGUAUUCCAUAAACAUUUACCGAGUUUCUCCUAAGUUCCAGGCAUGGCAGGAGGCGCCCAAGGUACAGCAGGGAACAACAACAACAAAAACAAAACCCUGCCCUUUGCACAGCUAACAUGUCUAUAGGCAGAAAUAGAUAGAACUCCCAAGUGUUCAAAUACAUGAAGGGACUGUUAAAAAAAAAACAACAACAAAAUUCAAUGGAGUAAAUGUGAAGAUCUAAUUGGCUUUAUGAAAGGAUUCAUGAAUCUGGGAGGUAUCCCAUCUAGCAAGUGGAGGGGAGCCAGGGAUACAUUGUUUAGGCAAGGCUGCUCUCCUAAGGAGAGCCUCUCAGUAAAUUUUAGUAUUGAUCCAGAAAUUCCGUGUUGUCUGGUUGAAGGUUACAUUCCUGGCAGGUUGAACGUGCAGUUAGGUUAAGUAUUAAGUCUUGGUUUGCCCCGAUGGCUUACACGAUAUCCUUUUGGGGCUGUGGUGUUCUUUUUAACAGGACUAAUUUUGGAUUGAUGCAAGUCCACUGAAGGAAAUUAAUUAGGGUGUGUGAUAUUAUACCAUAUAUAUUUGGUCUUUGACCCCAGUUCCUAGCACAGAGCUCUUAAAACCCUUAUAAUUAACUGAGUGAUGGGGUAAUAGGAGUAUCAUUUGUUUUAACAUUUGGUCUUUGUCCCUAGUUCCUGCUCUAAGAACUUCAAAGACCCUUGGAAUCUCUGGAGCGUUAAGAGUAUCUUUUGUAUGCUAAUGAAUGGCUGGAGGGGAGAUCUCCCCAGCCGCCCCCCCCCCCAGCUUCAGAAUGGGGGCAGGUCACCAGCAAAAGCAAGGCCUGACUAGAGCUUUUGGAACUUUCAGCCCCACCCCCUGACCUCCCAAGAGAAGGGAAGGACUGGAGAUGGAGUUCAAUCACCAAUUGCUAAUGAUAGAAUCAAUCCUGCCUGUGUAAUGGAACCUCCAUAAAACCCCUCAACAAUGGGGUCUGGAGAGCUUCCAGGUUGGGGAGCGCAUCAGGGUGCUGGGAGAGGGGAUGUGCCUAAAGAGGGCUCAGGAUCUCCAUGCAUUGCGCGCCCCCCCCCCCAUUCCUCCUGCUAUGUAUCUCUUCCCUCUGGCUGUUCUGGAAUUGUAUCCUUUUAUAAGAAACCAGUAAUCGACCAAGGAAACUGUUUUCCAGAGUUCUGUGAGUCAUUCUAGCAAAUGAUCAAACCUGAGGAGGGGGUUGUGGGAACCCCUGACUUAUAGCCCACCUGUCAGAAGUACAGGGGGCCUGGGACUUGUGAUUGGCAUCUGAAGUGGGGGUGUCUUGCGGGACCAAGCCCUUAGCCUGGUUAGGGUUAAGUGAGUGCGCUAACCAUGGGUGGUUGGCAUCAGAAUUGGACUGAAUUGUGGGACCCCCAGAUGGUGUCUGGAGAGUUGGAGAAUUGGUUGUUGGUGUGGAAGACACGCCACACGUCUUGGUGUCCAAAGCAUUUGGAGUGAACAAGGGUGUGUGUGACAGGUGGUUAGGGAAAGCCUCCCUCCACAGUGACAUUUGGGCUGAGACCAGCUGUGCAAAAAAUCCGGGCACAGUGUCCCAGGCUGGAUGGAAGAGCAAGCACCGUGGCUCUGAGGAGGCCACAAGCUGGGCGUGCGGGAGGGACAGAAAGAAGCCAGGUGUGGCCAGAGGGUGGUGCAGAGUAAGGAAAGGAUGGAGGGCCUCAGGGGCUCGAUCACGGGGGUCUUAGUAUUAGUCACUGUCCAGACAGGUAACAGGAGGCACACUCAGGGGAUGUAAUAUAGGGACUGGUUCUAGAGGUCUGGGUAGGGUUGAAGGAUAUUAACACAAAGUGACAAACACCCUGGGAUCAGCAGCCAUGGCAUCCUGGUGGCCACCCCUCGUACUCAGGAGGCCAGGGAGGAGCAGUUAGGGGAACCCGGGCAUUGUUAUACCUACAGGGGCCACCUGCAGCUUCCAUCAGAGGGAUCUGGCCUCUGCUGACACUCUCUCUCCUCCUGCCCCCUGGUCUGCUGGCAUCCCCUAGUGGCCAAAUCCCCCAGAAACCAGAGGGCAAAGGUGAUGCAGUCCCUUCAGGUCUGCUUCUGGGCAUCAAACAGGUGGACAAGAGUGAUCUUGAGGACAAACACAGAAUUCCCAGCACAGCAAUGGAAGUCUAUUAUUCUGAGUUCAAGGAGAAGCAACUAGGGGGUCUAAAACUGGAGAGGGACCUGAUUUGGAAGUCCACGGGCCUCUCUGGCUGCUCUCUGGGGAGUGGGUGUAGUGGGGAGGGGCAGGGCAGGGCCGGGAGAGCAGUUUGGAGGCUGUUCUAGUUGUCCACGUGGGGGAAGAUGGUGGCUGGGACCAGGGAGGGUGCAGGGAGGGCAGACAGAAAAGCCCGGGCUCAGUGUUAUAUUCUGACCUGACAUGGAUGGGAAUUGCUGGUGGAUUGGAUGGGGGACGGGGGACGGCCACGUAAGGAAGGAGCCCAAGGAAAGAGAAUAAUGGGCGACUUAAAGUUAAGGCAGUGAAUAGCUAUGUAUGUGUGUGAUACCCUCCAGACUUGUCCCCUUUGCCCACCCUCACCACUUCUUAGGGAAAGGAGACUUGGAUGGCAUCCUUAGGAGAACUCUAUGUGGCAGGUGUUUUUAUCACAAGUGAUGAAUUCACACACCAGAGAGGUUAAGACUUCUGCCCAAGAUCACACAGCAAGUAGGUGCAGAUGGGGAUUUGGACCUGGUCUGUCUGAUUCUCAAAUACCCUGAGCAGAAGGACUUUGAUGGGGGCUCUUGCUUUACACGUUAGCCACAAGCUGGGGCUUAUGCUGCCUGGUGAGAUCUGCCCUUGAGACAGGCUACAAGCACAUCACCAACAUGGCCAGCUGUAGCAUGCACGGAUUUGGGCAUAGAAGCAGCCCCAGCCGAACUUACUUGUUUUUUUUUUUUUUAAACUACUAUUAUUACAGAAUUGGGGAACAAGGAAGAAAACUAACAUUUAUAAAGCUCAUUCAUUCAUUUAUUCAUCCUCUAAUUUAAAAAAAUCUGUUCCUGAAUUUCAGGCUUCUUGCUGGACAGGUUACUUGGAUGAUCUCAUUUGAUCCCAAAAAUGAACAACCCAGCCAAGGUGAGCAUUCUGCUUCACCCCUGUUUUGCGGGGCUCAGGAAAUGGAGGCGCAGAGAGGGGAGUGACUUGCUCAAGUGACACGGUUGCCUGAUAACUUCUGGCAAGAUUUAAAAGAGAAGUGCCGGCAUCAAAACUUGAAGAGUGAGUGUCUACUUGAAACAAAAUCUCUGGGACAAGGUGGCAUGCUCUUUUAAGAAGUGUCACACCACCUACACUCUUGAUGUCCCAGAAGAGGAUAUUGUGUGAAAAACGCAAACAUCAAGGACUCUGAGAUGACAAGAAAUUCACAAGUGUUGAACUCUGAAUGAGAGGAGGUUUUAGGCUAACUUGACCAAUUUAUUUUGCUGAGAUUUUCCAUUUUAUAUGUGCAUAGUGGCGAUAGAGGAUAAAAAUCUAUGUCUAAAUAAGUCUAAAUGAGCCCUUUCAAUAGAUAUAAAAUAAAAAUUCAAAGUGAUA